ACUUGUAAGCUAUCGCUUUGCGAUGGGUCUGCGUCUGAUUAGCUAGUUGGUGGGGGCAACGGGCCUACCAAGGCGACGAUCAGUAGCCGGUCUGACGAGGGUGAUCGGCCACAUUGGGACUGAGACACGGCCCAGACUCCUACGGAGGCAGCAGUGGGGGAAUCUUCCGCAAUGGGCGAAAGCCUGACGGAGCAACGCCGCGUGAGUGAAGAAGGUCUUCGGAUCGUAAAGCUCUGUUGUCGGGGGACGAAUGUUGAGGCCUAGAACAUAGGUUUCAAAUGACGGUACCUGACGAGGAAGCCACGGCUAACUACGUG
rnacentral:rRNA from 1 species